rfam:Nicotiana sylvestris Nsyl_contig168217, whole genome shotgun sequence.
CAACCUCAACUCAUAUGGGACUACCCCCUGAAUUUAAGCAUAUUAAUGAGGGGAGGAAAAGAAACUAACAAGGAUUUUCUUAGUAGCGGCGAGCGAAAAGAAAAUAGUUCAGCACUAAGUCACUUCAUCUUUAUGGUGAAUGUGAGAUGCAGUGUAUGGAAUGUCUACAUUCUAAUAUGAGAAAUUAAUUAUUUAAGUCCUUCUUAAAUGAGGCCAUUUACCCAUAGAGGGUGCCAGGCCCGUAUAAAAUUAAUGAUUAUUAGAAGACAUUUCCAAAGAGUCGUGUUGCUUGAUAGUGCAGCACUAAGUGGGUGGUAAACUCCAUCUAAAACUAAAUAUAACCAUGAGACCGAUAGCAAACAAGUACCGUGAGGGAAAGUUGAAAAGAACUCUGAAUAGAGAGUUAAAUAGUACGUGAAACUGCUUAGAGGUUAAGCCCGAUGAACCUGAAUAUCCGUUAUGGAAAAUUCAUCAUUAGGAAUUAUAAUAAAUUUUAUUAUAAGGAAUAGUGUGCAUUUUUUCCAUAUAAGGACAUUGUAAUCUAUUAACAUCUUAAAAUUCAUCAUAAGAUCAUUAACGCAAAGUUUAUUCAAAUUAUUUUGCUUGCAAUUUAACAUAGAAUAAAUGUUGAUGAUUUGAUGAAGUGUUGAUAGAUUUAUUAUAUAUAAUGUAAAAAUUCUUUAUUGAAUUUUACAAUGGUAUAUAUUUUAAAUAUAUAUUUAUUGUAUACAUUUAUAUGAUUUACAAUGCGAAAGAUUCAGGAUACCUUCGGGACCCGUCUUGAAACACGGACCAAGGAGUCUAACAUAUGUGCAAGUCAUUAGGAAUAUUUAUAUAAACCUAUUGGCGUAAUUAACAUAACUGUUAAAUGGGAUUAAUUUUUAGUUCUAUUUUUAAUAGUCUAUUAAUUCAAUCCCGGGGCGUUCUAUAUAGUUAUGUAUAAUAAUACUUGUAUUAUUUAUACCUCUAACUAGAGCGUACCUUGAGCAUAUAUGCUGUGACCCGAAAGAUGGUGAACUAUACUUGAUCAGGUUGAAGUCAGGGGAAACCCUGAUGGAAGACCGAAACAGUUCUGACGUGCAAAUCGAUUGUCAGAAUUGAGUAUAGGGGCGCAAGACCAAUCGAACCAUCUAGUAGCUGGUUCCCACCGAAGUUUCCCUCAGGAUAGCUGGUGCAUUUAAAAAUUAUGUAAAAUAAUCUUAUCUGGUAAAGCGAAUGAUUAGAGGCCUUAGGGUCGAAACGACUUUAACCUAUUCUCAAACUUUAAAUGGGUAAGAACCUCACCUUUCUUGGUAUGAAGGUGCAGGUUGUGAUAUAAUGUGCCCAGUGGGCCACUUUUGGUAAGCAGAACUGGCGCUGUGGGAUGAACCAAACGUAAUGUUACGGUGCCAAAAUUAACAACUCAUGCAGAAACCAUGAAAGGCGUUGGUUGCUUAAAACAGCAGGACGGUGGACAUGGAAGUCGUAAUCCGCUAAGGAGUGUGUAACAACUCACCUGCCGAAGCAACUAGCCCUUAAAAUGGAUGGCGCUUAAGUUGUAUACCUAUACAUUACCGCUAAAGUAGAUGAUUUAUAUUCAAUUUCGGUUGGAUUAUAAAUUUUGAAACUUUAGUGAGUAGGUGGGUACAAUGGUGUGCGUAGAAGUGUUUGGCGUAAGCCUGCAUGGAGCCUCCAUUGGUACAGAUCUUGGUGGUAGUAGCAAAUAAUCGAAUGAGAUCUUGGAGGACUGAAGUGGAGAAGGGUUUCGUGUGAACAGUGGUUGAUCACGAGUUAGUCGGUCCUAAGUUCAAGGCGAAAGCUGAAAAUUUUCAAGUUAUAAAGAAGGAUCUGAAGAAUAUUAAAAAAAUAUAUAUAUAUAAUAAAGUAUAUAUAUAUAUACUAUAAUAUUUAUAUAUUAUUAUAUAAUAUAUUAUAUCUAUAUAUAUAUAUAAAAUAAAAAUAUAUAUAUUAUUAUCAAUUUUAAGAACGAAAGAUUAAUUAAAACACUUGAAUAUUUUUGAACGAAAGGGAAUACGGUUCCAAUUCCGUAACCUGUUGAGUAUCCGUUUGUUAUUAAAAAUGGGCCUUGUGCUCAUCCUGGCAACAGGAACGACCAUAAAGAAGCCGUCGAGAGGUAUCGGAAGAGUUUUCUUUUCUGUUUUAUAGUCGUAUUACCAUGGAAGUCUUUCGAAGAGAGAUAUGGUAAAUGGACUAGAAGAGCAUGACAUUUACUGUUGUGUCGAUACUUUCUCCUCGGACCUUGAAAAUUUAUGGUGGGAAUACGCAAACUUCUCAACAGGCCGUACCAAUAUCCGCAGCUGGUCUCCAAGGUGAAGAGUCUCUAGUCGAUAGAAUAAUGUAGGUAAGGGAAGUCGGCAAAUUAGAUCCGUAACUUCGGGAUAAGGAUUGGCUCUGAAGAUUGAGAUAGUCGGGCUUGAUUGGGAAGCAAUAACAUGGUUUAUGUUCUCGUUCUGGGUAAAUAGAGAUUUUCGGAUCUUGUUCCCCGGAUAGUAGUUACAUAGCCAAUUGUGGAACUUUCUUGCUAAAAUUAUAUUUAUUAUGUAUAUUUAUAUGCAUAAUUUUAUAAUUAUAACGAUUAUCAAUUAACAAUCAAUUCAGAACUGGCACGGACUUGGGGAAUCCGACUGUCUAAUUAAAACAAAGCAUUGUGAUGGCCCUAACGGGUGUUGACACAAUGUGAUUUCUGCCCAGUGCUCUGAAUGUCAACGUGAAGAAAUUCAAAUAAGCGCGGGUAAACGGCGGGAGUAACUAUGACUCUCUUAAGGUAGCCAAAUGCCUCGUCAUCUAAUUAGUGACGCGCAUGAAUGGAUUAACGAGAUUCCUACUGUCCCUAUCUACUAUCUAGCGAAACCACAGCCAAGGGAACGGGCUUGGAAUAAUUAGCGGGGAAAGAAGACCCU